rnacentral:rRNA from 1 species
GAUGAACGCUGGCGGCGUGCCUAAUACAUGCAAGUCGAGCGAACAGAUGAGGAGCUUGCUCCUCUGACGUUAGCGGCGGACGGGUGAGUAACACGUGGAUAACCUACCUAUAAGACUGGGAUAACUUCGGGAAACCGGAGCUAAUACCGGAUAAUAUAUUGAACCGCAUGGUUCAAUAGUGAAAGACGGUUUUGCUGUCACUUAUAGAUGGAUCCGCGCCGCAUUAGCUAGUUGGUAAGGUAACUGCUUACCAAGGCAACGAUGCGUAGCCGACCUGAGAGGGUGAUCGGCCACACUGGAACUGAGACACGGUCCAGACUCCUACGGGAGGCAGCAGUAGGGAAUCUUCCGCAAUGGGCGAAAGCUUGACGGAGCAACGCCGCGUGAGUGAUGAAGGUCUUCGGAUCGUAAAACUCUGUUAUUAGGGAAGAACAAAUGUGUAAGUAACUAUGCACGUCUUGACGGUACCUAAUCAGAAAGCCACGGCUAACUACGUG